rnacentral:lncRNA from 1 species
UCUAUUAUAGAAUGGAUUUGUGGAAUCAAAGGGAUUAAAAGAAAAGAAGAAGAAAAUUGGAAGGUUUCGGGAUUAAGAGGUCACUAGACCAAAAAUAUCAUUUUGAGGUGCUUAAGUUAUGUUCGUGCCACGACCCGGAAUUCCCACCAUAGGGACCGUGAUGGCGCCUAACAUUUACUUGCAUGGCAUCUCGUAUUGGACUUGGUGCGGUAUUGAUGCAGGGUGGCAAGGUAAUUGCAUAUGUUUCACGGCAGCUGAAGAUCCACGAGAAGAAUUACCCUGUUCAUGAUCUAGAGUUGGCAGCCAUUGUUCAUGCGUUGAAGAUAUGGAGGCACUAUCUUUACGGUGUGUCAUGUGAAGUGUUCGCGGAUCAUUGGAGCUUGCAGUAUUUGUUCAAGCAAAAGGAGCUCAAUUUGAGGCAGAGAAGGUGGUUAGAGCUAUUGAAAGACUAUGAUAUCACCAUCUUGUAUCAUCCCGGGAAGGCCAAUGUGGUGGCUGACGCUUUGAGUAGAAAGUCAACUAGUAUGAGCAGCCUUGCGUAUAUUCCAGUUGGUGAGAGACUGUCACACCCCAAACCUAGGGAGGCGUGGCUGGCACCCGAUGCCGCACUGGCCCGAGCGAACCACUCUGUAACUCAUUUCUUCUUUUUGUGACUAUCAUGGGCCAACAUGGCCACAGCUAGUAUGUACAAUUGUAAGUGAGAAAACACUAUAUCAUUUAACCCUUUUCCUUAAAACAUUAAUACAUUUGGGCCGUCAAGGCAUCUGACAUACUGUACAAAAUGAACCUCUGUCUACAAAGCCUCUAAGAUCAUUUGGCAUCAAAUGGGACAGGGUACUGGCCUACCCAUAAUUCUGUAGAAAACUUCUGACACAAUGACUCAUAGACUCGGCUGCACUCCGAAUGAGGUAGAGUUUUACCGAUCCUUCGCUGAAGCCAAUCUCGUCUACUAUGAAAGUUCGUCAAACUGUUUUUCUAUACCUGCAGGCAUGAAUGCAGAGUCCCCAACAAAAGGACGUCAGUACGAAUAAUGUACUGAGUACGUAAGACACAUAAAUAAGUAUAUAAAAGACCUCGAAGAAACAUGAAGUAAAUGACUUAACCUGUAAGUCUAGGUAACUCUGUAAAUUAUGAAAUAUCUAUAAUGUUAUGCACAUGCAUAUAAAUGUCAUAUGAUGCAUAGGUCUGUACAUACAUAACAUCAUCAAGCCUCUGAGUGCAUCCCAUCAUAUCAUCUCGGCCACUGUAGGCAAAUCGUCAACGUAUACCAGCUGAUCAGGUGGUGGUACGUAUAUAACGUCGUAACCUUUUCCCAUAUCCCAUAUAAAUAUAAUAUACAUAUAUACGCGUAUAUAAUGCCAUCUGGUCAUGGGUCAAUGUACAUGUAUAAAUGAAUGCAAUGCGUGAAACGUACGUCAGUAAAAUCUUUCGAAGUGUCAAAAGGCUAUUAUACCUCUGAGUAAUAUCAUGAAACAAACUUCAUUAACUUACAUAUUUUCUGAGACCCAUGAACAGAUGAUAAAAUAAUAGGACACAUGGGAAUUCAAGAACAUAUGCACCUCUAAUACUUCUCUGAAUAUAGUCAAUUAUGAAAGUUGUGCAUUUUCUCGUUUCAUUUGUAUCGUACGGAUCAUGCCAAAAAGAAAGAAGGGAUAGCCUUAACAUACCUGGAGUAGGGAAAAAUCCGUAUGAUAUUCUUGGGAAAGAUUGUACCGUGCUUCUUCAUUGCAAUCUAUGCAGUAAGCAAUGGUUGAGUAGUUAUUACUAACAUCUGCUUUCACUUCCAUGUUUAAGGUAAAAGAUGAGCUCUAUUUCCGCAUCACCUACAUUUGCGGCAUGUCAAAGUUGCUUCCAUUCAACUUCUAAACAAUGAACACAAUCAAAUAUAUAUCCAGCAGGAACAUGGUACAACUUCAAGUGGUAUACAUAAUCUUUUAUAAAUACCAAAAGAAUAAAAGUUAAAUCACAAGCAAUACUUAUUUUUAAUCUACGUUAAGCAUAAUCCGCUACCAAACAAUGGGUAAGUACUUGAGUUAGAGCUAGAGAUUCACAUAGAAACACUGACCUUCUCUAGCUCCAUUAAAUCUUAAUCGCAAGGAUUUUCAAAUACAGACUGUUUUGGCUUCCUUCGAGAUAUCAAAGACAGCUAUUGAAAAUCUCACUUUAAAUUUGAUAACCAUUAGAGAAAUUGGCUUGACUAGCAAAAAUAAUAUUAACACUGAAGUAACUGGUACUCUUGGAAACCAUACUUGGAAUAUAAAUUUGAAAAGUAAUAAUGGGUGAGGAGUUUUGUAGGAAAUUUGCAUUCUAUCUCAUUGAUGUCUUGGAAACGUUAGAGAAGAUGGAGUAGUG